rnacentral:rRNA from 1 species
UACGUAGGGACCGAGCGUUGUCCGGAUUCAUUGGGCGUAAAGAGCUCGUAGGCGGCCACUCAAGUCGAAUGUGAAACCUCGAGGCUCAACCUCGAGCCUGCAUUCGAUACUGGGCGGCUAGAGUCUGGUAGGGGGAUCUGGAAUUCCUGGUGUAGCGGUGGAAUGCGCAGAUAUCAGGAGGAACACCGGUGGCGAAGGCGGAUCUCUGGGCCUUACCUGACGCUCAGGCGCGAAAGCUAGGGGAGCGAACAGG